UGUUUCUUCCCACGGGACAAAUUGUUGCACAAGCUAUCCCUGUACCAUCUUUACCUGAAAGUACUGAAAAACAAGGGCCCACAGUCGCCCAGGUCCAAGUUAUUGGGAAAGACAAACCUAAAUUAUGGUGUAACCUCAGUGGGGGUGGGGAGUCAAAACGCAUUGAGAUGCUUGUAGACACAGGUGCAGACUGCACAGUGAUUCCAGUACAAGACUGGCCAGCACAUUGGCCUUUGCAAAAUGUUGCCGGUCACCUUCGAGGUGUAGGAGGUCUGCAAUUGGCAAGACAAUCUAAAAGCAUUGUUCAAAUCGAGGGACCAAACGGACAAUUGGCAAAUAUCCAUCCAUUUGUGUUAGAUUAUUCGGAACCUUUGUUAGGGAGAGAUUUAAGGGCCCAGUGGGGUGUCACAAUUGGUAUUCCAGACUCUCCACAGCAUCUUUGUGCAGCAGUCAUUGAACAACAGCGCCCCAUCAAAAAACUGAAAUGGAAAACAGACAAACCAGUUGACGUGAAACAGUGGCCGCUCAGUAAACAAAAAAUAAAGGUGCUUGAGGAACUAGUAGAAGAGCAACUAAAAAAGGGCCACAUUGUGGAGACCAUGUCCCCAUGGAACUCUCCAGUGUUUGUCAUCCAAAAAGCUGACAAAAAGAGAUGGUGACUUCUUCAUGACCUCCGUUAAAUUAAUAAUGUAAUUGAAGAUAUGGGUUCUCCCCAACCUGGUAUGCCAUCCCCAACAAUGCUUCCCCAAGAUUGGAAAUUAGCUGUUAUUGUUAUUAAAGAUUGUUUUUUCCAAAUCCCCUUACACCCUGACGAUGCACCGCGUUUUGCAUUCUCUGUCCCUUCCACCAACAUGGAAUCCCCUAUGAAAAGGUACCAUUGGACCGUUCUUCCUCAGGGCAUGAAGGUAUCGCCAGCUAUCUGCCAGUGGUAUGUCUCUUCCCUGCUUUCCCCAGUACGUGCAGCCGCAGAGAAGGCCAUCAUCUAUCAUUAUAUGGAUGAUAUCCUUGUGUGUGCCCCCAAUGAUGAUUUACUCACACAUGCGCUUGACCUAACGAUCGAUGCAUUGAUUGUUGCAGGGUUCGAGCUCCAGGAAAAGAAAAUUCAAAAGAUGCCACCUUGGAAGUAUUUGGGCUUAGAAACUGGAAAUAGGACCAUUGUUCCUCAAAAACUAGAAAUCAAUCCAAGGAUCAAGACCCUUGCGGAUGUCCACAAGUUGUGUGGGUCUUUGAAUUGGGUAAGACUGUGGCUUGGUCUGAUUAACAAAGACCUUGCCCCUCUCUUCAAUUUAUUGAAAGGGGGAGAGGACCCAGGUGCUCCUAGGUCUAUUACCCCAGAGGCACGGAAAGCUCUAGAAAAGGUUCAGAUUGCAAUGUCCACAAGACAGGCCAACCAAUGCUGGCCUGACCUGCCAUUCAAAUUUAUCAUUCUAGGUAAGUUGCCACACCUCCAAUGGAAUUAUUUUCCAGUGGGAGGAAAAAUAAACACCUAAGGCAAAGAACACACCAAAAAAGGACCGGGACCAGAGGGACUCUCUCUUGAUCAUAGAAUGGGUUUUCCUCAGUCACAAAAGGUCCAAGAGACUGACAAAGCCUCAGGAGCUGUUAGCGGAACUGAUCCAGAAAGCAAGGACCCGGAUCAGGGAGUUAGCAGGAUGUGAUUUUAAGUGCAUUCACAUUCCAGUUGAGUUAAAAUCAGGUCAAAACACUAUGAAAAUACUGGAACAAUUGUUUCAAGAAAAUGAAGUGUUGCAGUUUGCUCUGGAUUCCUACUCAGGACAAAUUUCGGUAGCGCGGCCCGCUCACAAAUUGUUCGAACAAGAUUUUCAAUUUACUUUAAAAUUGAGAAGUGCUCUAAGUAGGAGCCCUUUAAAAAGGGCUCUGCCUGUCUUUACAGAUGCGUCCAGGAGGUCCCAUGUUGGAGAUUUUUUCAGGGAUGGCUUGGAAGGCAGCUGUGGGGGACAGGUUCUCACAGCCUGCUUCUGUAAACAGCAGAGGUUCUCAGGUUGUUUUUAAUUACAAGUAAAAGUGAUAAACAUGAAGGCCUUGAGAACCUUGCAUAUCAGAGUUCUCAGGCAGCUUUCUCAUAACAAGUAGAUAUUCUAUCUUUGACUGUUUUGGGAAAGCAAAAAUAAUUUUGAGAACCCAAAUCUUGGUAUUGGAAACAUAAGGAGGAGUUGGUAUGUUAUCUCUGACCUAUUGUGAGCUCAGAUUUUGCAAUAUGCAUGAACUUGAUUAACACUGUUAUAAAAAGUGCCUGAUUGAUUAAUAAAUCGGAGUUGAUGCUGAUCAAUGCAAGGUGGGUCGUCUCCCUCCGACUUCAAUAGUCCCACAAGUCUGUUAUGACUUGGAGGGAUCCUCAAACCCAGCAGUGGGAGACAGAUGUUGCUGAGGUGGAAGGUUCACCUGAGGUUGCUGAAUUGGCUGCGGUUGUUAGGGCUUUUGAAAGGUUCUCAGAACCAUUUAAUCUGAUUACAGACUCUGCAUACGUGGCAGGAGUAGUAUCCAGGGCAGAUCAAGCAAUACUGCAAGAAGUGUCUAACAUCGCAUUUUUUGAAUUGCUCUCAAAACUGGUAAAGUUAGUCACUCACCGAGAGCAACCAUUUUAUGUGAUGCAUGUCAGGUCACACACUGACUUGCCAGGGUUUAUCGCUGAAGGCAACAGAAGGGCAGAUGCUCUUGCUGCACCUGCAGUGAUGGCCACUCUCCCAAAUGUUUUUGAACAGGCAAAAAUCAGCCACCAGCUUUUCCACCAAAAUGCACCUGGCCUGGUUCGUCAGUUUAACAUCACUCAAGAACAGGCCAAAGCGAUUGUGGCCACGUGCCCAAAUUGCCAACAACAUGCACUCCCUACAGUGAGUACGGGAGCAAACCCAAGGGGACUGAACAGUUGUGAACUGUGGCAAACAGAUGUAACACACAUACAGGCUUUUGGAUGGCAGAAAUAUGUUCACGUUAGUGUAGAUACCUUUUCUGGAGCGGUCUAUGCUUCUGCCCACACAGGAGAAUCAUCUAUCGAUGCUAUUAAGCACCUCUUACAGGCCUUUUUCUUCAUUGGGCAUCCCCAAGGAGCUGAAAACUGAUAAUGGGCCUGUUUAUAAAUCCAAGGAAUUCGGGAGCUUCCUGCAACAAUGGGGAGUAGAGCAUAAAACUGGCAUCCCCUACUCCCCUACAGGUCAAGCCAUUGUAGAAAGAACUCACCGUGAUAUUAAAAGGGUCCUGGACCAGCAACAACAGGUUCUGAAGGUGGAACCUCCCCACAUCCGGUUAUCCAGGGCGCUAUUCACAAUCAAUUUGCUGAAUUGUUCUUUUGACAGCCUGAACCCACCCAUCCUACACCACUUUGGGGGGAGCAGUCAUAGGCUGAUGAAAGAAAAACCUCCAGUUUUAGUAAAGGACCCUGAGACUUGGAAAAUGGUGGGACCUUACAAAUUGGUUACUUGGGGAUGUGGAUACGCCUGUGUGUCCACCCCCUCUGGUUUAAGGUGGGUUCCUUCCAAAUGGGUAAAGUCCUAUGUUCCCAAAGUCUCAGAGAAAUCUACAGAAGCGCCCCAGGUUGCUCAUGCUGCCUGGAGAAGAAAACGCCGCACACGUUCUCUGGAGGAAAUUCUAUUUAAGCCUCCUAUCUGGAAUAGUUUGUAACAUAUGUUUGUUUCAAGUUCUUGUACCAGUUUAGAUCUCACUGUUCGUGUGUAGCCUUGAGAUGCCAUGAGACCGAGCCUGCUUCUCGUCCUACUCGUGAUCAUCCCACCUGCGAUCUCCUGCAUAGUCCCUCAGUCCAAACCACAUAUGGACUACCUUGGCAAAAGCUCUCGGACAUCAUCAGAGAAACUGACAACGGGCUGAAUGGACUGUUCAAUGGCUGGGGACUCUCGGGCUGGUUGGGAUCUAUUCUGAAAACUGUGUUUUUAGUGCUGUUUAUUUUAGUUAUAGUAAUUGUAGUUGUUAGCAUUGUUUUUGGACUAAUCAAACGCAUAGUCCUCAAGCUAAUUUCAAGCUCAUCUCCCCCUCCUGAGGUCUACCAUUUGGAAGCCCUCAAUGCUCCAAUGGAUGACCUGGAAGCCUCGGUGGAAAACACUGACCCUCCUGUAGAGGAAGAACUGAUUUACCAACCAUGGUUUGGCAAGCAUUCUGCACUACAAGCCCAGUCCUCUUCUUUUUAAACAAAACUAGGGGGAGGUGUUGCGGUGUGUUUCAAACUUUCAGGUCACCUCCCAGGUGUGGCAAUACCUCUCUUCCACUUCCCCCCUCGCCCCCUUGCUGAGUGAGUCCUGUCAAUCAGGCUUAACAUAUCAACAAGGCGUCGUGUGGUUGGUCAAAGGAUGCCCCUCAGGCCCAGAGGUCAUUGGCCUGCCUAGGUGUCCCUUGCCCCUUGAGACCCUGCCCCCCCCACGUGGUUGGUGGCUCACCUGUCCCCUCCCCUCCCCACCCCCUGAGCUUAAAAGGUGAAGCACGCCAUGUGCUCGGGAUUCUGUUGGAGGUCUCCCAAAGAUUCAGACCUCUGUAACCAUGGAAUAAACCUCUGCAUGUAACCCUC